CGUACACUCCUACGGGAGGCAGCAGUGGGGAAUAUUGGACAAUGGGCGCAAGCCUGAUCCAGCCAUGCCGCGUGAGUGAUGAAGGCCCUAGGGUUGUAAAGCUCUUUCACCGGUGAAGAUAAUGACGGUAACCGGAGAAGAAGCCCCGGCUAACUUCGUGCCAGCAGCCGCGGUAAUACGAAGGGGGCUAGCGUUGUUCGGAUUUACUGGGCGUAAAGCGCACGUAGGCGGACUAUUAAGUCAGGGGUGAAAUCCCGGGGCUCAACCCCGGAACUGCCUUUGAUACUGGUAGUCUUGAGUUCGAGAGAGGUGAGUGGAAUUCCGAGUGUAGAGGUGAAAUUCGUAGAUAUUCGGAGGAACACCAGUGGCGAAGGCGGCUCACUGGCUCGAUACUGACGCUGAGGUGCGAAAGCGUGGGGAGCAAACAGGAUUAGAAACCCCAGUAGUCCCA
rnacentral:rRNA from 1 species